rnacentral:rRNA from 1 species
GCUUAACGCGAAGAACCUUACCUACCCUUGACAUGUACGGAAUUCCGCAGAGAUGUGGAAGUGCCCGAAAGGGGACCGUAACACAGGUGCUGCAUGGCUGUCGUCAGCUCGUGUCGUGAGAUGUUGGGUUAAGUCCCGCAACGAGCGCAACCCUUGCCAUUAGUUGCUACAUUCAGUUGGGCACUCUAAUGGGACCGCCGGUGACAAACCGGAGGAAGGUGGGGAUGACGUCAAGUCCUCAUGGCCCUUAUGGGUAGGGCUUCACACGUAAUACAAUGGUCGGUACAGAGGGCUGCCAACCCGCAAGGGGGAGCUAAUCCCAGAAAGCCGAUCGUAGUCCGGAUUGUAGUCUGCAACUCGACUGCAUGAAGCCGGAAUCGCUAGUAAUCGCGGAUCAGCAUGUCGCGGUGAAUACGUCCCCGGGUCUUGUACACACCG